CCACCGCCUUUCAUUUCAUCUCACCUGUUCUUUCUUUAUUUUCUUUUCAUUCUGUGCUCUGUUUUGGAGCUGUGAAAGUCGAAGGAAAACAGAGCACGAGAGAGAGAGAGAGAGAGAGAGAGAGAGAGUAUGAAAUCGAGAUAGAGCAAAGGGAAUCGGAAGAAUAUGGAGUAGAACGAAGGAAGAACGUGAGCUCGAUUGAGAGUUCGAAUUGGGGUUUAUGGAAGAGAAGGAAGGUUCUGGUUGGAGCAGAGAAAACAGAGGAGGAGCUAAAUUUUCGGGGAUUAUGGAGACUGAGCUUUGCUCCUCGAAGAAUUGACUCAAUGAAAUAUUUUUGGGUAUUCGAUAAGCUUCCACUUGCGCGAAGGAACCACUUUUUGAUAUCGGGGAUCAACUUGGAGGAC